UUCAACUGUGAAUUGGAAAUCUACCAACAUUUGAUCCCCCUUGGUAGAAAUUUAUUGGAGGUGAAAUUGUGCAACAGUUCCUCUAUGUUGCUCCUUUUGGAUGGCUAGCAAUGAAUCAAAAAAAUAUUUGCUAUUUAGAGCCGGAUAUCCCUCAGUAGCAGAAUUAAAUAUCACAAAACCUUAGUUACCUCAGUGAGAGGAGAAUGUGUUUAUUUGAAUGUCAAAUGGGGGCAGUCUGAGCCGGGUCUUGUGAACACUGGCAAUUUUGUCAUCCUUGUGAUACGAAGCUACUUAGUACUGUUGGGGUUACUCAUGUUUAAUCAUUGUCUCCAUUAGUUCGUGAUGUUUGUCGGCAUAGAGACUUUCUUGUUUUGUUGCUCCAGUUUCUUGGGGUCACUGGUGUACACUGGCUUUGCACUUGGUAGUUGGCACUACUUCUGCAGCUGACUGAAUAUACACUAAAGCUAUACAAAUUAGAUGUCGAAAUAGAUUUGACUUUCUACUUGCUCAUUCUGAAUGUAGUAGCAAGAGUUUCCCUUGUGUGCUUGAUUCUGGUGCAUCAGAUUGAACUGAGAUAGUUUAUUGUAUUGUAGUGUAGAGAUCAUUCACUACCAAAAUAUAGCGAGGAUGUUGUGGUUACAUAUAAUGUCACAAACAGUCA
rnacentral:lncRNA from 1 species